rnacentral:sRNA from 1 species
AAAUAAUGAUAAUGCGUCUGCCGGGAGUCG